GAGCCGCCACGCUCGAAAAUCAAAACCGCUCGCUUUUUACUUAUCAAAAUAUUAAUUAAAAGCGCGCAACUGUUUAUGCACUCGAGUUGUGAAACUACUUCUAGUCGGCAUUAUUUCGUUCAACAACGCGUGGUUAUUAAUAGAAAGGCACGCUUAUCAAAACUCAACAAAACCGUGUUUAAAAAUUAUCUAUGCAAACAUUCAAAUAUAAAUGUGAGCUGGAAUUUUGCCCUGCAGCUGCAAUAAAUCAAACAAUAUUUGAAAAAGUUAAACGUCAAGCAAUUUUAAGGAAAACAGCUGGUUCAAUUGUCUUCUGCAUCUUUAUCCAUUCAACAGCACCUCUCAAAGCCAUUUCUAACGAAAAGAAAUCUGCUUUACCUUUGCCAAAGGUUCUUAUAAAAUCUAAAUAUGCUGCAGCAGGAGGAUUAAGUUCUGUUGAUCUGGCAUAAUUAACAGACUCAUUGGAGGAUUUUUCAGGUAGAGAUUUUUGGCCACACAUGAUUUGUGCAGUUUGAAUCAGUGUAUAAAAAGAAUUUAUAAAGGAAACGAGGACUAAGUUUUGUUAUAACGAGCUUUUUUGGUUUUUAAUCAAAUUUUGACAAAUUAAACAAAAAUUUAAGGUGUGUUGUCAUUGAAAAACAAAAGGAUUACUUGGAUUAUUGAAUAAAAACAUAUUCUGCUAGAAAAUCAUCUAAAAUAAGGUAAAAGUAUUUUAAGAAUUAUUUAUUACAUAGAAAUAGUACUCAAAAAUACAAAAUGGACGGAUUUUUCAAGAGUUAUAAACAUUACAAAGUCAUACUUUUAAAAUAAUACUUUCUGCGUGGAUAUUCAUGUAAAUUGCUUUCGAGAUUCUAGUAUAAACUAACAC